rnacentral:rRNA from 1 species
UACGUAGGGCGCAAGCGUUGUCCGGAAUUAUUGGGCGUAAAGAGCUCGUAGGCGGCCUGUUGCGUCCGCUGUGAAAUCCCAGGGCUUAACCCUGGGCCUGCAGUGGAUACGGGCAGACUGGAGGCAGGCAGGGGAGAACGGAAUUCCCGGUGUAGCGGUGAAAUGCGCAGAUAUCGGGAGGAACACCGGUGGCGAAGGCGGUUCUCUGGGCCUGUACUGACGCUGAGGAGCGAAAGCGUGGGGAGCGAACAGG